GAUGAACGCUGGCGGCGUGCCUAAUACAUGCAAGUCGAGCGAACAGACGAGGAGCUUGCUCCUCUGACGUUAGCGGCGGACGGGUGAGUAACACGUGGAUAACCUACCUAUAAGACUGGGAUAACUUCGGGAAACCGGAGCUAAUACCGGAUAACAUGUUGAACCGCAUGGUUCAACAGUGAAAGACGGUCUUGCUGUCACUUAUAGAUGGAUCCGCGCCGCAUUAGCUAGUUGGUAAGGUAACGGCUUACCAAGGCAACGAUGCGUAGCCGACCUGAGAGGGUGAUCGGCCACACUGGAACUGGGACACGGUCCAGACUCCUACGGGAGGCAGCAGUAGGGAAUCUUCCGCAAUGGGCGAAAUCCUGACGGAGCAACGCCGCGUGAGUGAAGAAGGUCUUCGGAUCGUAAAACUCUGUUAUUAGGGAAGAACAAAUGUGUAAGUAACUAUGCACGUCUUGACGGUACCUAAUCAGAAAGCCACGGCUAACUACGUG
rnacentral:rRNA from 1 species